rnacentral:rRNA from 1 species
ACGAGAAGCGAACCUGCGAAGGCAAGCGGAUCUCUUAAAGCCGUUCUCAGUUCGGACUGUAGGCUGCAACUCGCCUACACGGAGCUGGAAUCGCUAGUAAUCGCGGAUCAGCACGCCGCGGUGAAUACGUUCCCGGGCCUUGUACACACCGCCCGUCACACCAUGAGAGUUGGCAACACCCGAAGUCGGUAGUCUAACCGCAAGGAGGACGCCGCCGAAGGUGGGGUUGAUGAUUAGGGUUAAGUCGUAACAAGGUAGC